CAUGCAUCAGCGGACUGGCGCA
rnacentral:miRNA from 1 species